rnacentral:lncRNA from 1 species
AGAAAACACAACAAAACGAUGAAGUUUUAUUAACAGGUUAUUUUGAGUCUGUUUCUUCAAAUUCCAGUUCAAAAGUUUGGACCAGGAUAAAUUGAGAGAAAAAACCUUGCCGUGAUUUUGCAAAGUUGGAGCCAGGGAACACACACGCAAGCCUUGAGUCUUUGCAUGGCAGGUUUUUUCAAGUCAGAUUUCCGGUUCAACUAUUGAGCAAAGUAAGGAAUACCAAGCAGAAUUUGAACUUUGCUGUUCAAGUUGUGGGAAGUUGGAGUUGGGAGCCGUUGGAUAGCAGAGGUCUCGCUGAGCUCAGUGACUGUUCAGCAUCAUUGUUCCAGCACUGGAAACACAAAGGGAGGAAAAGCAGGUAACGUCUCCUCUUCUGUGGAGCUUGCAGACUGUCUCAGAAGACAAUUAUUCUCUACCAAUAAUAAGAGACGGUGAGUGCUGCAAAGCUGGAGUAAAGGAGGCUGAGUGUGUUAUGACCACGAUUUUCCAGUUUUCCAUGUGGGAUUAAAAUAGAAGAAAAGGAAGUCAUCUUAGUGGUCAGAGCAAAUGGAAGUUUCAUGCUUCCGCCUCCAUGUUCUGGAGGUGGGAAUGCAAAGUGGACCUAACAUGGCCUAAAGUCGCUCUGCUGUGGCUGAGAGGCAGAUGUCCCCAGGUUCCUCGGGCUCAGAGGAGGGGCCUGUGGAAGGUGACUGAAUUAUCAGUGUUCAUAGCCGACCUGCAGUUAGGAGUCAGGGUCUCGUCCAAAGAGGCGGUCACGGAGGGGUGGCCUCGCUGCUCCUUUCUCUCCCUGCUUCCUGCGCCCUGAGGUGAACCUCUCUGCCCGUCAGACCCUCGCCGCCUCGGCUGAGCCCACUCCUGUGAGUUGUGGGUGAGCGGUUCUGUGUCCCAGCAACGAGAAAGUGACUACGACAAUGACAAUUAGAUAGAUUUGUUGCUUCCCGAGACAUUACAGGGAUGAUCACUGACCAAAGGGAGGCAUAUGUUUCUUUUAUUAUAUAAGAAAAUAUAAAAUCUAUGUUAAUAAACAUGCUUUAUCCGUGUAUUUCAACAUUAAGCACGAUAGGUAUAGAGCAUGGUACUGAUGAG